AUUGAACGCUGGCGGCAGGCCUAACACAUGCAAGUCGAACGAGUGGCGGACGGGUGAGUAAUGUCUGGGAAACUGCCUGAUGGCGGGGGAUAACUACUGGAAACGGUGGCUAAUACCGCAUACCAUCAGAUGUGCCCAGAUGGGAUUAGCUUGUUGGUGGGGUAACGGCUCACCAAGGCGACGAUCCCUAGCUGGUCUGAGAGGAUGACCAGCCACACUGGAACGGAGACACGUUCCAGACGCCUACGGGAGGCAGCAGGGGGGAAUAUGGGACAAUGGGCGCAAGCCUGAUGCAGCCAUGCCGCGUGUAGGAAGAAGGCCUUCGGGUUGUAAAGUACUUUCGGCGGGGAGGCGUUACCCGCAGAAGAAGCACCGGCUAACUCCGUGCCAGCAGCCGCGGUAAUAC
rnacentral:rRNA from 1 species